GCUCACAGUGACACUGCAGUUAGGGGCAAACCUCCCUCUGCCCCCGCUCUGCUGUCCUCAGAAAAGAUCCUUUGUACCAGGCCCAACGGGUGCCUCAGCAUGAGGGGUUUUAGCUUUCACUGACACAAACUUUAGCCAAUAGGACCCUCACCUAUGCAUGGACAGGAAGGGAGAAAACUGCAGGAAAUAUCUUUGGUUCAGGGGUAGAAGUUCCUAAAUAAAACUCUCCGCAAUCGAGAUUGCUCAGUCAAGAACAACACAGAUGUCCGGGUUUAUGUGGCAAAAGGCAAAGUGACAAGGUGGAGCUCAGCUGCCCUCACUGAAUGUAAACCAGCUAGUCAUGGUUGACUAUGGCACAGCUGGGACGUCCCCAUGAAGCCUAAAACGUCAUGUCCAAUCUGGACCACAAGGCGGCGCACCUGGAUGUUCAAAGUGAUUACUGCCAGCUGGGCCUGCAGACAAAUUCUUCCAGAUGUGCUGGGCUCUGAUUGGCUGCCUAUGUUGCUUCCUCACUGACCUCAGUCACUGAGUCUCAUAUUACCUUUCUGAUGCAGAAGGAUUGUAGGUAUAGUGAAUCUUCUCAUGUCAGAGGUGUCUGGUAAGAAUGGAGUAGACAACUAGUCAGACUGGAGGAAAUCAGAUCAGAUCAACUGAUAUAUGUAACUGUAUUACUAUUGCAUCCUUGAUGGCAAAAUGCCAGCAUAUUAGCUGAUGUUAUUAUGUCAUAUUGUGGCUAUGAAUUGCCAGGUAGAUGUUAAUACUUCAGCUGAAGUGAUAUGACACAUAAAAAACACUGACUGGAUAUAAGCAUCUUGGAUUGUAACACAUUAAUGUACAAUAUGCAAAUGUUCUGAGUGGGAUUAUCAUAUAAUUAUCAUAUAUAUAUAAUCUCAAAUAUAAAACAUAUCAUAGUGAAAGCUCAGUUUAUCUUGCCAUUUUAAAUGUCCAUAAUAUCAAAGCUCAGAUAAAUGUUCCACAUGAUGGUACUAUUUGUGGUAAUAUUCUUGAUUCACUUUUGCUAUGGUUGUUAUGUGAGUCUCACUGUCAUUGGCAUCUUGGAAUGAACUCUUGUGAAUGCUUUGCACAAAACAACCCAGCUUUAUAAAAUUUUUAAUAAGGCCACCAUAAGCUUCCAGGUCAGCCCUCCUUGAUAUAGAUUUUAUGUCUUUGAAACUAUUAUUUGAAAGAAUAUUCCUUAAAUUCCUUCAUUUAAAGCUAAUUUCCUUUAACUUUGCUGGGUGUUUCAUGCAUGUUUUCAGCGUGACCCCAAGCAAUCAUGCACCCGCUUUUGUGGAUGUUAAAACGUGUUUCUAAGGUAAAACUAAGUGACAAGUUUAGUUAUGCAACCCACACACACAGACACUAGCAACUGUCUGUAGAGGAGGAUGAGCGCUGGACAGAGUUAGUGAUUAAAGAGGAGGAGCACACACACAUACACAUCUAUGCUCUUUUAACUGAGUAAAGUAAAGAGAGAAAAAGAUUUUAAAUGGUUGAAGGAAGCAGAGAAUGAUGCAGAAAAAGGUUCAGAUACACUGCCCUCUGUGACACUCGCACACACACACACACACACACAGAGGCACUAAUUAAACAGGGCACUGUGCAGACACGUGCAGAGGCAGCAGACAUUUGCAGGAGUGGUUGAGGUUUUCAAAUUGCAGCCUAUAUUCCAGCUGGUUUCUUCUCUUUCUUUGCUCUGAAAACUGGUGCUCCCUCUCCCUGCUCCACUGUGCUCUACUUUGAUCUGCUACACUCCUCCACGCUCUGCCCAGCUCUUCAGAUAUUUUGUCAUGAAAUUACAAGAAAUAAGAAUGCAACAGUGAAGAAUGCUUUAUUUUAUAUCUGCUAUUUCCUAAUAGUUUCUUGCAAAUAACUAUGUAGUUUGGUAGGAAUUACAGAAGAAGAAGUUCUAAAACUGAUU